rnacentral:lncRNA from 1 species
ACGAAACUUAUAUCUCAUUUUCAUGGCUGGCGCAAUAGGAAAGUCAAGCAUGUCUUGCCCUGUCAUUGAAAUAACAUUAAACUUUGCACGAACCAUCUCAAUCCAUUCUGUAUAAUGUUGCACUUCCCCUUUCUUUCUUUUCAUCCUUUCAGUUAAUCCAAAAUGUCUAUCACAGGGCAAGAAACUGUGUCUCCGUAUUGAAAAAUGGUGAACUAUCUUCAUAAAUCAUCCCAUCUUGAUCAGUGUCGAGAAGAAAGCUACCAUACAGUGAUUUUUAUUUUGACCUGCUGCCCCACUACUGAAAAUAUAAUGUUUCUACACUGCUAUCAAUCUUCUCAUUUAUGUAUUUAUUUAAACAACUCGCUACUUCAUUUUCACAUCUCUCACCCUGCGUUUCUGGUCACAUAAACAUUGUUGAUUUUUUCAAUUUACUACUAUCGACUUCAAACGUAUGUAACCAUAACUGUCGCAAAUAGAACAUCUCCCCUAUAGGUAAAUAUGGGUAUGGAAUAUUUUGCAUGAACUGAAAGCAAAGCAUUUCAACCUUAGUGUUCUCUUGAGCCUCUUUCUAGUAUUGCUUCAGCUUUGUAUAAAUAAACUAGCCUUUAUUUUAUGCACAUUUAGUUGGUUCUGUAAAUUUUACCUCACAGCUAUAUUCUUUUCUGAGAGGAUGUUUGCUUUC